rnacentral:lncRNA from 12 species
CGGUGCAGUCAAUAAAGCUGUUUUACUGAGAUCUCAAAGUUACGCAGAGUUCCCUCGGAGUGGUCGAGUGAGUCAUCCGUAUCGAUGCAUUUUGGAGACCCUUUUCAUAGCAGAGAUGCUUAAAUGCACACCAAAAGUCAACUGAACAUCUCUCAGAUGAGGCAUUUGAUAAAAAGAAUACAUCACAACCUCCAGUGGACACUCAUGUUACUACACCCUGAACAUCCAAUCAAACAGCACCUCAGGAAUCCACUGAAAUUUACACCAAAGGAGGAAGAGUUGAGCCUAUAGUCUUAAGAAUGAGGAUUCGGGCUUAAAGCCGCUCACCGAUGCAUUCCUACAACUGUAAAAUAAACCCUCUGCAAUUCUUAAAAAAAUAUCUAGUUUUUAAAUGACCUUUAAAGAAGAAGAAGAAAAAAAGACUUUCCAGACUUGUAAAAAAUAAAAUGAAAUGUAGUAUAGUAAACAAGUUUUUAUUUGCAAGUUCCAGAGUUUGUACUACAUAAAAUGUAGCUUUGAUUAUCAUCUUCACCAUUAAAAGCAUACAAAUCUUCUUCUACACACACAUCUCAUGACAUCUCAUGAUAACAUUCAGCCAAGGGCACUUGAACACACCUUCUUACUAGGCUGCAGGCUGUGUGUGUGUUGCUGAAUAUUUAUAUAUUAACUGCUGUUCAACACAGUGGCAACCCAAGCACAUAUUUCAUAUUACAUUCCAUCUGUUUAGACCUAAAAAAGUAUGAAUCUCUUAAUCUCUGCAAAAGCCUGGCCUUCACAUCUAUUGCUUUCUGUUACUACUGACCUCUAUAAUCACGAUGUACACCAACAGCAUUUAAAGGAAAUGAGAAAAUAAAUGAAUGUAUUGUACAGACCUUCAGACCACCCAAAAGAAAAGGUGACAGAAGACCUGGCCACAAAGCAAAAAAAAAAAAAACAUAACAAUAAAAAACAUAAAUAGAUAUUCGCAUGAUUAAAAUGUAACACAUUUUUGAAAAAUUGUAAACUUUUACAUUAAGCCUUAAUAAAUGAACAUUCAUUAAUCCACCUUCAACAGUCCGAGCACACGAGUCCUUAAGUGCUUCUACUCAGAAACAUGUUCUUGAUAGAUCUUGAGCUUUAGGGACUAGCACUGAAACACCAUGAGUAUCCUGUGUUUCGAGGAUGAUUAGUUUGUGCAGUGAACGUGUGCGGUUGACUACGUGCACUUCCUAAGCUGU